rnacentral:rRNA from 1 species
AUGAACGCUGGCGGCGUGCCUAAUACCUGCCAGUCGAGCGAACGGACGAGAAGCUUGCUUCUCUGAUGUUAGCGGCGGACGGGUGAGUAACACGUGGAUAACCUACCUAUAAGACUGGGAUAACUUCGGGAAACCGGAGCUAAUACCGGAUAAUAUUUUGAACCGCUUGGUUCAAAAGUGAAAGACGGUCUUGCUGUCACUUAUAGAUGGAUCCGCGCUGCAUUAGCUAGUUGGUAAGGUAACGGCUUACCAAGGCAACGAUGCAUAGCCGACCUGAGAGGGUGAUCGGCCACACUGGAACUGAGACACGGUCCAGACGCCUAAGGGAGGCAGCAGUAGGGAAUCGUCCGCAAUGGGCGAAAGCCUGACGGAGCAACGCCGCGUGAAUGAUGAAGGUCUUCGGAUCGUAAAACUCUGUUAUUAGGGAAGAACAUAUGUGUAAGUAACUGUGCACAUCUUGACGGUACCUAAUCAGAAAGCCACGGCUAACUACGUG